UCCAAAAAUCUGAAAUUGUUAAGCAGAGAGCUUAUAAGUAUCAUUGCAAAUUUAAAUAAGCCAAAGGAAUAAUCUUCAGGAGAAGAGAAACAAAAAUAGUGCAGAAAUGUGAGCAUUUACAUUUUUUGUAAUUACUAAGUAAUUGAAGGGGUGCAGGAGCUGGCAGUGAGUGGUUGUGCAUAAACAUUAUUAAGCAAAUAUACCACUUCUUAAAAUAAUUGGAACCCAUGCAGACCUAAUUUUUCCUCACUGUUAUAAGCAAUCAGUAAUCUAACAGACAAUUUAGGGUAUGAUCAGUAGUAUAGCUCAAGUCACAGAAUUCAAUAGCAGGAAGAUUCUCAGAAAUCAUUAUCUAUUAAGGAAAGAGGUCUAGAAAUGUUCAAUAACUUGACUUAAUCCAUCACUUCAACUGGUCCACUAGUUUAAUCCCAGAUUAAUGAACUAUAUAAGUUAGAAUACAUAAUCAAGUCUCCAUCUACUUUCCCUAAAUUUAAAAGAAUGCUAAAAGUUAGUUUUUAAAUGAUCGUGUAUAAAUUUAAUAAACAGAAAUAUAUUAGCUUAGUGGUGCAGAAAUAAAAUAAUUCUUAGACAAUCUGUGAUUAAGACCAUUCUAAUUGUUAAUUGCAUAAUAAAUAGAAUUUUUACAUGAAUAAUCUCAACUAUUCAUGUGCACAAAUUCUAAAUGGUACUGUAAUAAAAAAAGCAAGCUUAAAAAUGUUUUCUAUUCAUGUGCAUAAAAAUAAAUGAUAUUCAAAAUAGUAUUUUUAAAGUUAGCUCUUUAAAGAAUAUUAGGAGUGUUUAUUUCAGAUACAACAUUAGAAAACUUCAAAAUUUAAGUUAUUUUUCUGAGUUCUCUGGCAACCAGAUUGUUGAAAGUAGUUGUACUAUAAUAGUAUAACUGUAAACUAUGUUAAAUUAGAGUUUGUUGAACUUUCGUUGUGAAAAACAAAUGAAAGAUUUUUCUGACAAUUUUUAAGAGUGACUUCUACAAAGAGGUAUGUUAAUUACUGGGAUUCUUUAGACACAUGGCUGCAUUUCAUUUUCAUUAAUGAGGGUGUAGGAGAUAGAAAAGCAGGCUCGGCAUAAAUGAUACCCAAAGUGAAUGAACAACCUAGUGCUACUCAUUAUGCAAGACAUAUGUGCCAGCAAUCAGAGCGCAUCCUCAGAUUUCUGUUUAGCUUCAUUAGCCAUCUUCAGUCCUUUGGGUGGGACAAUCCUGAAGAUGUCAUCCUCAUCUAAGGCGAGAUUGCCAGAGCACAGUUCACUGCCAUCUAGGGCAGAUUGUGUGUCUCCAGAGACUGUAAUUAGAUCAGGCCUUUCACACACUGGUUUUCUUUUUGAGAGCCCUUGAACAAAUCAAGCAUACAUGGUUGUCUAUGUAAAACUAAGAGCUGUUCACUUUCUUAGAGCACAGAUGACCUAUCUCAAAUAUUUUAUAUAUUACUUUAAAAUAAUGAAUCAAAGGGCAAAGUCUACAAUAAUUGAAAGCAGUUUACUAACAAAAAGAAAAACCUUUCAGCAUGUAGAUGUUCUACAUUCAAAUCAAUGAGAGCUCUCACCCUAAAGAUUGACAGGCUGUGUGGCAUUGGAAAUGGAGAUAGAAAAAAAAAAGUAGUGAAAAUAAUGGCAUCUUUUUCACUCUUAAAUAAAAAUGUAAAUCUCUAGAGCUAUCAGCAUGGUGUCAACCUUCAAAAACAAUAUUUAUAUUCAUCUGGGUUCCCCCCCCCCCUUUUUUUCUCGUUUUCUUUUGCUUAAAAGGUUGGGUUUGGUAGGAGUCGAGGUUAGUGAAGUAAAUCUGACAAUAUAAAAUAACAUUUUUAUAAAUCAGGUCUAAGACAAAGGGAAGAAGGAGUGUUUGCUGGCAGAAAUACAAGUGGUCAGAAAUACUUGGAUGAAAUUAUUGAGCUUAAUCAUCUUCAUUGGAAUAAUAGGGUUUAUUCUGAAGCUGCAGAACACAUAUGAGUCAUAGAGGUUUUAAAGGGCAAAAAUAGAAAGCUAAAAGUCUAAAGGUAGAUUCAAAUAUACAAAGCGGCAGGAGGGAGAGAAGUGGUGACGAGAAACAAGAAAGGGAACAGUAAACAAAGAUCAGAACCCACGUUCCAGUUUGCACAAUCAAUUGUAUAAUUCACUGGCUUUUCUGAACUAUAGAUUUCUCAUCUGUCAAUGGGAUGUGGUGAACUUCACGUUAAAAAUCCCCCAAGAAGCUCUUAAUAAAUUUUAAUUGAUUAGUUAAGACAUUCUGGGUUAAUUAGCCUGGCACCGAGCAUGGCUGCCAUAUAUUCUAGAAUUUUUUUUUCUUCUUUUCUUCCUUCUCUUUUCUAUGUGGCUAUGUCACUGCUCUGGAAGGGAGAGAAGGGAGGGAAAGAAAACCACGCAAUUUCUUCAGGAGCUCUAGCUGAAGAGCUGCCAAAGAAGAAAGCUGCAAUGGAGUUUUUGCAAGUGAAGAAUGGAGACUUUAUAUGUUUCCUUUUAUCUCAUUUCUUCAAGAACUCACACAUGCCUAUACCUUUUUAUGUAGUUUAAGUAUGACUGAAUAAAACAAUUUACUUAAGUCCGGAAGCUCUAAAUUUUUAUGAUGAAACAAAAUGUGCCAAUUCUAGCCAAUCUGUGAAUGUAAGGGUCAGUAAUCCAUAAACUAUUUGGGUAGUAAUUAUAUGUUUCAUUAAUGUAAUGUGAUUUUGCACUACUGUAUCAUUGUAUUUAAGCAGAAUCUUUAAAAUACCCUGAAACCUAAAUGCCAAAUGUACAGUUUAUAGGUUCAUGUUAUUUCUUAUAAGGAUUUAAUUGCAUUGUGCUAACAGUUGUUUAAUGCUAUUAAUGUUCUGUAUGUGUUACUACUGUGAUUCAAACCCAUGAGGUUGUAAGCACACUAAUUGAUCAUCCGGAUUUUUAUAGAUAAAAUCACCCAUUGAUCAGAAAUCACUUUUCUACUUAUUUUUUUGUAGAGUAUUUUUCCACACUUGAAAAACAAACAUGAUUAUUUUAUAUCAAACAUCAGCUUUUCUUUAAAUCUUAUUUUAGUAGCCAGUGCAUGUUUGAAAUAAAAUGUGUUAGAAAUUAUAUAAUAUUAAGAUUGUGCUAUAUUGGGGGGAAAUGCAUGCUGUUGGCGAAUCAUGCAACUUUGGGGAAAUUUACACUGCCAACUCACAUGCAGGCAUGUCUCAAUCCAUGUGCAUGAUUUAUGUCCUUUCAAAAAUCUUUUUUAAACUUUAGUAAAGUGAAAAUGGCAUUCUUAGUGUUAAGAGCCAAUAGACAAAGCUGCUUUGCUUUUUUUAAUGUCGCAGUAUAUUGUGGUAAAUUUACCCCUUCCCCAAAUUUUCUUCUUUGAUUUUCUAGUUGGCAAUAAAUAAAAUUAUUUAUUGGCAAAUGAUAUAAUUUACUGUAUAGCAACUUACUAUAAUAAGCAUGAAGAUGUGAUAAAAAUCAUGUUAAUAGUUCAAAUCUAUGAACACAAUAUUCUGGCAGCUUUUUCUACAAUCAAAAAUGGUAUGUCUUUUUUUUUUUUUUUUUUUUUUUUACACUGCCAAAAUCAGUACUACUGCCAGGGUGGGGGUAACUUGAGGUCAGGUCUGCACUACAUUAAUUUGAGUAAUAAUGUAGGACAUCUAGGAAGUGUGGACAGCCAAUCAGAGUAACUGAUAGAAGAAAAGUAAACUUCAUUUUUUUCUCAGUAACUUAGGUAAUUAAGAAAAAAAUUGCAUAGAAAAUAUGAAUUUUGGCUGCAGAGACCAAGCCUCUACAUGCUAACAAUUUGCAGUAGUCUUUAGAAAUAGAAAUUAUUCAGUGUAGUUUCCUUUUCGUGUUUGCUUUGUUUUCUUCUUCAGAAAAUAUACUUGUGUUUUUGAAAGGGCUUAAUUCCAAAUGGAUAAUAUUAUGAACCAAUGACCACCACCCCAAUGAAAUAAGUCAUUCAUCAUGUUAUGUUAUGUCUAGAACAUAGCACUCGGUGACUUAAAACACCAAUAUAAACAUUUACACUGCCGGAAGGUAAUUUCAUUGCUAUGUUAUUAAAGCAGUUGGGAUCCUAUUUAUACAUUUAUUUAUUUAUUUACAGAAGUUUGGUUCAUUCGAGUUCAAUUUUAACAGCUUCAGUGAAGUUACUAUAUAUAAUUAUAAUAAAAGUUGACUCUAGCUACUACUCCAAGAGAAAAUCAUACAACAGAAUUUCCCUACAUCCUGGAGUAAAGCAUUAAUCCAAAUGAUAAGUAAUCAGCCCACCAUCAACAUGAUUUUGUAUGUGUAUGAUAUACAACAAAACUGAUCUUGUUCUUAAUUUGCUAACAUAUUGUUGCCUCUUCAUAGAUUCAACCUGUAAAUAACAUAAAACAUCAUGUGGCUAAGCCAAUAUUUUAAUAAGCCAUGAAAGGCAAAAUGCCAUAGGGAAUCAAUAAAUUCAGCUAUUUGGGUAACUUGUGUUUUCCACAAAUAAUACUGCAGAUGUUAUUUGAAAUUUUCUUCCCUUAAAAAUAUCAAAAUGUAUGUUCCUGCCCAUUAAUGUCUUUCUGGGACUAUAAAUAAAUAUUUGGUAUGAUUGUUAUAGUUAAAAUUUUGUUAAAUUUUUGUUCAAUAAUUUUUGGUGAUUUCAGCAUCUGUGCUAAGAUUCCAAGGCAGGAAUAAAUGUGUAAAGGAUUUGAGCCUUUAUGUGUAAGAAGAAAUCUCUCCAAUCAUAUUUCCUAUAUUUAGUGUAAGUACUUCAGUGAUUUACCACUGGAAUUAUUCCUUGAAUGUAUAAAUAAUGGUGUUCUGUUCAAGCCUAAUGAAUUUCUGUACUGUGAAUAUUUAAAAUAAAAGAAUUCAAUUUCAAUGUGCAAAA